rnacentral:rRNA from 1 species
AGAGUUUGAUCCUUGCUCAGGAUGAACGCUGGCGGCGUGCUUAACACAUGCAAGUCGAACGAAGCACUGAAAGCAGAUUACUUCGGUAGGAAGCUAUCUUUGACUGAGUGGCGGACGGGUGAGUAACGCGUGGGUAACCUGCCUCAUACAGGGGGAUAACAGUUAGAAAUGACUGCUAAUACCGCAUAAGCGCACGGGACUGCAUGGUCCAGUGUGAAAAACUCCGGUGGUAUGAGAUGGACCCGCGUCUGAUUAGCUAGUUGGUGGGGUAAGGGCUCACCAAGGCGACGAUCAGUAGCCGGCCUGAGAGGGUGACCGGCCACAUUGGGACUGAGACACGGCCCAAACUCCUACGGGAGGCAGCAGUGGGGAAUAUUGGACAAUGGGGGAAACCCUGAUGCAGCGACGCCCCGUGAAGGAAGAAGUAUCUCGGUAUGUAAACUUCUAUCAGCAGGGAAGAAAAUGACGGUACCUGUCGAUGAAGCCCCGGCUAACUUCGUGCCCAGCAGCCGCGGUUAUACGGAGGGGGCAAGCGUUUAUCCGGAAUUUCUGGGUGUAAAGGGAGCGCAGGUGGUUAUGCAAGUCAGAAGUGAAAUCCCGUGAGCUCAAUUUGGGGACUGCUUUUGAUACUGUAUGACUAGAUUGCAGGAGAGGUAGGUGGAAUUCCUAGUGUAGCGGUGAAAUGCGUAGAUAUUAGGAGGAACACCAAGUGGCGAAGGCGGCUUGCUGGAUUGUAAAUGACGCUGAGGCUCGAAAGCGUGGGGUAGCAAACAGGAUUAGAUACCCUGGUAGUCCACGCCGUCAACGAUGAAUACUAGGUGUCAGGGAGCAAAGCUUUUUGGUGCGGCAGCAAACGCAAUAAGUAUUCCACCUGGGGAGUACGUUCGCAAGAAUGAAACUCAAAGGAAUUGACGGGGACCCGCACAAGCGGUGGAGCAUGUGGUUUAAUUCGAAGCAACGCGAAGAACCUUACCAAGUCUUGACAUCUGGGUGACAGGAGGGUAAUGCCUUUUUUCCUUCGGGACACCCAAGACAGGUGGUGCAUGGUUGUCGUCAGCUCGUGUCGUGAGAUGUUGGGUUAAGUCCCGCAACGAGCGCAACCCUUAUUCUUAGUAGCCAGCAGGUAAAGCUGGGCACUCUAGGGAGACUGCCAGGGAUAACCUGGAGGAAGGUGGGGAUGACGUCAAAUCAUCAUGCCCCUUAUGAUUUGGGCUACACACGUGCUACAAUGGCGUAAACAAAGGGAAGCGAGCAUGUGAAUGUAAGCAAAUCUCAAAAAUAACGUCUCAGUUCGGAUUGUAGUCUGCAACUCGACUACAUGAAGCUGGAAUCGCUAGUAAUCGCGAAUCAGCAUGUCGCGGUGAAUACAAUCCCGGGUCUUGUACACACCGCCCGUCA